CCAGUACUCUUUGCCUUUUGGCUUAGAUCAAGUGUAGUAUCUGUUCUUUUCAGUUUAAUCUCUGAAAUCCAUCCCAAGGGGUGGAAUCUCUAAUUGUUCUACUUUUUAUAUUCUGCCGGUCAAGUCACCUAUGCUUGUCAUGGCGACUUGGCUGGCACUGUGUCCCUGGCCUUAUACUACUGUCUUGUGAUGCGAAACAAA
rnacentral:snRNA from 1 species